UUCCAGACUCCUACGGGAGGCAGCAGUGGGGAAUAUUGCACAAUGGGGGGAACCCUGAUGCAGCAACGCCGCGUGAGUGAAGAAGUACCUCGGUAUGUAAAGCUCUAUCAGCAGGGAAGAAAAUGACGGUACCUGACCAAGAAGCACCGGCUAAAUACGUGCCAGCAGCCGCGGUAAUACGUAUGGUGCAAGCGUUAUCCGGAUUUACUGGGUGUAAAGGGAGCGCAGGCGGCGCGGCAAGUCAGAUGUGAAAGCCCGGGGCUCAACCCCGGAACUGCUUUGGAAACUGUGCAGCUAGAGUGCAGGAGAGGUAAGUGGAAUUCCCAGUGUAGCGGUGAAAUGCGUAGAUAUUAGGAGGAACACCAGUGGCGAAGGCGGCUUACUGGACUGUAACUGACGUUGAGGCUCGAAAGCGUGGGGAGCAAACAGGAUUAGAUACCCUGGUA
rnacentral:rRNA from 1 species